rnacentral:rRNA from 1 species
AACGAACGCUGGCGGCAUGCCUAACACAUGCAAGUCGAACGAAGGCUUCGGCCUUAGUGGCGCACGGGUGCGUAACGCGUGGGAACCUGCCCCUCGGUUCGGAAUAACAGUUAGAAAUGACUGCUAAUACCGGAUGAUGACUUCGGUCCAAAGAUUUAUCGCCGAGGGAUGGGCCCGCGUAGGAUUAGCUAGUUGGUGGGGUAAAGGCCUACCAAGGCGACGAUCCUUAGCUGGUCUGAGAAGAUGAUCAGCCACACUGGGACUGAGACACGGCCCAGACUCCUACGGGAGGCAGCAGUGGGGAAUAUUGGACAAUGGGCGAAAGCCUGAUCCAGCAAUGCCGCGUGAGUGAUGAAGGCCUUAGGGUUGUAAAGCUCUUUUACCAGGGAUGAUAAUGACAGUACCUGGAGAAUAAGCUCCGGCUAACUCCGUG